GGGGAAGAGGCGGCGGGGGAAGCCGGCCGAGUCCUGGUGGCGGCGCCGAAGCCAGGCAGGGGGAAGAGGACCCCCCCACCAGAGGAAGAGGAAGAGGCAGAGGAAGAAGCCGGGCGAGGCGGCCGCUGGACGGGACAUCACAAUACUGCCUACCAACAUAUGAAGUAAUAACAAUUUGUUUUCAGAAAUAGGAUUUUGAGCUGACAUAUAUGUUUGGCUUUGCUAUGUAAAUUGUUUAAAAGAACAAAUACUUUUAAGAAGGAAGGAAGGAAGGAAGGAAGGAAGGAAGAAGGAUAUAUCUUUUACUUUUAGAUGAGUAAUCCAAGGGACAGUGGAAGGUUCAAGAGACAGUGGAAGCUAUUGUAUCCAAGCUGAAAAUCCUACUGUCUGUUCCCAAGUAUGUGGAGACUGGCUAUACUUUUUCUGCGAUGAAAUAAAGGCACUCUGCACAUGUUCAGAGGCACUCACAUCACCAAUAAUUCUGUUCCAGGGAGAAUGGGGGAAGCAAGCUGGGAGUCGCUCAGAGUGCCAAGCUGAUUGUUAGGUUGGACCUGCAAAUAUUGUGAAUCGCCUAGAGAUUUUUGAUUAGGCAAUAUAGAAAUGUAAUGCAUAAAUGAAUAGCUCUGCCUGGGAUAAAAACUGCUGGCCAAAUAUUGACAAUCUGCUUCCGACUGAAAACAGCAUCGCAUAGUUCUGUAAGGUUCCAAGAUACGGGUAUGAAAGGAGGAACAUUGUUGUGGUACAAUGUUCAUUUUUGUUAUUAAGCGUUUUGGUACUCGUGUUAAUUGUUUUGUUUUGUUUUGUUUCAGAACUAAUUAUAGCCUCCCUGCUUUUUAACUCACUUUAGUUUUUGUUGGCUUUUUUCUCCCCCCGCACCCCAUCCUUUUAACCUUUUGCCAUCACUUGCAGCCAUGGCAGGUGCUUGGGGUCCUCUGUGCAACUGCCUCCUGGAGGUCAUGUUAUUUUCUCACAAUGCCCUCGAUGCGGUGUCAGUCCAAAGAAUUUUAGAAGGGGGGAAAUGGUUGCCACCAGUGGGGGCUGCCAUAUUUUUGCGGCAGCCACUAUUGUAUUUUCUCACAAUGCUCUGGACCAAAACUGCUCCGGAACAAUUCCUUUCUAUUUCUCUGGACCCACCAAAUCACUCAGUUAACCCCUUUAAUUGCAUAUCACCUCUCAGCCAUUCGCUCACAUUAAGAAGCAUGAACUUGUCUUUCUCUUCAGCCAUUAAGGAAUUAGAAGUGGGUUGGGUAAUUUGCAGUGAAUCGAUGCAGUGAAUCGAUGGCUCAGCCCAAUCUGUUGUGUGCAAGUGAAUCCAACUUCCAGCGUUGGGACAGCUAUGCCAACAUUGGGCAUGCUGUGUGAACCCAUCAACGUCAGCAUAUUCUGUCCUACUUGUGGUCCAGAAGCCAACAUCUGUAACCGAGAUUUGAAGUGGGGACAGAUGUUGACUUCUGUAUCCCAAGUAAGGUGGAAUAUGUCGACAUCGGUGGGUUCACACAGCACAUCCAAUGUCAGCAUAGCAGUCCUGAUAGUGGAAGUCAGGCUUGCACAUACAUUCUGGAAAAUAACAGUCCAGUUCACGAUGAUGUCUGAGUCUGAACCUUCCCAUUAGCAUUCUUUUGCCAGAUCCUGGGCACUCUGAUCAGACAUCACUUCUGGGCAAAACUCUAAUAGUACUAGGGGCAUGUCUGCACCAUCAUCUGAAAGUGGUUUAAUAGUCAUACCCUCUCUCCAUGCAAACUGAGGACAGUGGCUGACAUCUGGACGAUUGUAGGGACAUGACUGAGGCCCGCAUGCAACCUCUCCAGUCCCUCUAUGUGUGUGUUAUUUCGAUGUGUGUGUUGUUGCACAAAUGGGCAAACCAUCCCUGCUCCGGAAGUGCUCUGGCAAAUGUAGAGGGAUUGGGGGAAAGCUGCACAUGGGCUCCAGUCAUGUCAAACAUGUGCUUUGUUAGUCAAGAUGCUAGCCAUUGGUGUGUGUGUGUGAGAGAGAGAGAGAGAGAGAGAGAGAGAGAGAGGGAGAGGGUGGGGGGAGAGAGAGAAAGAGAGGAGCAAAGUGCACCAUUUCUGGGAGGAAGAAACAGACACCAUUUCAUGAAAUGUUUCCGUUUUUCUCGCUGGGAGGUAAUUUGAAAUUCUCAUUACUCCCGUGAUGGUUGCAAAGAUAGACAAUAAGUCUUCUGGAAAUUGCUGGAAAUGCAUGAACCCGGCGGGAACAUUCUACCAUUUGUGGUGGACAUGGAGUAAAGCGCAGAAAUGUUGGAAGACAAUCCAUGGAAAGAUGCAACAGAUUUUAAUUUGAAUAUUCCUUUGUUACCAGUUAUUUUUAUGUUAAAUAUUACAAAACCUUAUAUACCUGCAAAAUAUAUUGAGCUGUCUUUAUACAUGAUAACUGCAGCUAGGAUUUUUUAUGCUUUGUAUUGGAAACUCAAUUCCGUCAUUAGGUGAGUGGCAACUUAAGCACUGAAAAUAUGCAUCAAUGGCAAAGAUUACUUCAUACAUAAAGAACAAAUCAGAGGACAAAUUUGUUUUAAUGUGGGAACCGUUUAUACACUAUAAUUUGGUACAUGGAUUAACUCCACAUCCGAGAUUUGGAUUUUCUCUGCAAUAAGGCCACAAGUUUUAUAUUUUCAAUUUUGAUGUUUGUUUAUUCAUGUAGAUAUGUGGGGUUUUUUUAACUGUCAUUGAACUAGAAUUGAAUUAUAAGAGGGGACAUGGUGGGGAAGUGGAAUCCAAGUUGAUGUCUUAGAUAACUGAGAUGUCAUAUUUGUUUCUUUUUCCUUGUUUAAAUAAAAAAUAAAAUAAAAUAAAUUCUCUUUUCA